CAAUAUGGUUAUCAUAUCUACUCACAGUCAUCUCCCUUUUGCUGAAUAGAAUUGAGAAGCUGAAGCGUGGUUUUGGUAUGCACGUCCCUGAAGAGUUUAGGUAGCUGGAUAUAAUGCGGGGUUCCUGCAUUUCUAAUAAUCAGUUUAAUCACCUCCCUCGGAGCUACCUAUUGGAGGGCAAGUUUGUGAUUUCUACUGAACUUGACAUGGACGCUUUUUAAGUAGUACUUGGAGUGUUGGUGAGCAGCAGAUGUAGCACUCAAGCUGUGAUCACAUGAUCUUGUGGUUGUACUAUUGAUGACCUUGGUCCUACUAAUUCAGUUUAUUUGCUGAAAGCUAUGUUUGGAAAUGAUGCAAUCUGCCAGGCAACAAUAAUUUCUCUGGAGCCUGUACUUAUUAGUGUUAUUGUCUUGAUGUAUUUUCUCACCACGGGAAGCCUUAGGUAUACGUACAAUUAUCGGCUUGUAAUAUGUUCCUAGUGCUAUACUUCUCUAAUAUAUUUAUAUAUGUUACUCUUGCAUCUCUUCCUAGUAUCAUAUGGUGCUCUGCUUCCGUGAGCUUGUGUAUUAGAAGUUGUUAAAUAUUGUGUAUUAGAAGUUGUUAAAUAUUGAUUGGUGGCGGCCAUGUCUGCACCCGAGCUCAAAUGAGCUAUGUUGAACCAUAAAAUCAGAAAUAUAUAUAAAAAGAUCUAGUUUCAUUAUGGUAAACUAUGACAAAUGUUCUAAGAGUUUGCAAUAUUUCAUCACAAAAUCACAUUUGGAGUUGUAGCAAAAAAACAAAAUUGAUACUCUAAAAAUGCUAUUAUCGAAAGCAUUUUAAAGCACUAAUUUUGUUUUAUUGUCAUCACUUUCAUAAAUGUGAUUUAGUGAUGAAAUUUUGAAACCUUUUAGAACAUUUAUCAUAAAAAAGUUCAGCUUUUUUGAAAUAUUUUAAAUAUUUUCGGAGUUGUUAAUCUCGGCUUAUUUGAGCUCUGGUGUAGAAAGGCAUUUUUGACACGCUUGUUAUCUAUAUGACCAAAUCCUAACUGAGCUUGCUCGUAGUUGCGCAAAUUUGACAUUGCUUGUGGCACUCUGUGUUCAUAUCUUCGCUCUGUUGUUUGUCAUGGAAAAAAAUGUUGAUGUGGAACUAUUUUUUUUAGUACCGACCACAUUGAUGUUGUGGUGUGGAAGAAGGAUCAUCUUUCUCGUGAAUGGUGUUUUACGAGUUUCUAUGGAGCUUCGAAAGUCAAUGCUAAUCUCCGUUAGAGCGGUGUGGAGGCACAAUGCUCCCCAAGAUGCCACUAAGGCCACCGUAAUCUCCUCACGCCCUCGCACAAUGCAAGAUGCUGUGAUUCCACUAAGGGACCCUUGAGGGCGGUCACCGAACCCGUACAAAUGGCAAACCUUGGGGGCGGUCACCGAACCCGUACACGUGGCAACCCUUGGGGGUGGUUACCGGUACCCGUACAAAUUGCUCGGGGCUAUCUCCACAACCUAAUUGGAGGCCCCGACGCUUGCCCGGAGCUUCACACCACAAUGAUUGAGCUCCGAGCCACCACCAAGCUUCUAGGAUGCCAAAGCAUCCACGAAGAACAAUAUCUAGGGUACUAAGUACCAAAGGUAGUAAGCUUCUCAACUUCUCACUUCCACGUAUCACCGUGGAGAACUCAAACGAAGCAACUAAUGCAAUUGCAAGAACACACGAAGUGGUCAAGUCCCUCACACUCAAAUCCCUCCACAACAAAAAAGCUAUGGAGAAAUAUGAGAGGAAGAACAAGGAGCUCACAAAGAACUCCAAGAUCUAGAUCCAAGGGGUUCCCCUCACAUAGAGGAGAAAGUGAUUGGUGGAGAUGUGGAUCUAGAUCUCCUCUCUCUUUUCCCUCAAGAACAAGCAAGAAUCAUUCGAGGGAUUGAGAGUUAGCAAGCUCUAAGAAUGUCAACAAUGGAGGUAGAACAAGAGCUCAACGGAUAGAUCAGGCCAAGGGGGAAGAAGACCCCCUUUAUAUAGUGGGGGAAGGAAUGACACCGUUACCCCCACUAUCUGCCCGAGCUCCAGCGGUACUACCGCUGAUUGCAGCGGUACUAGCGCCAGCGAGUGGUACUACCACUGGCUGCAGCGGUACUACCGCUGGCCCGAGCGGUACUACCGCUGGGCCCCUGGUAGUGCAAAGGCACUACCAUCGCCAAGAAAGUCUUCGCAAAAAGGUCCGUCCACGAACAACCGCUAGGCAGGCGGUACUAAGCUCCUGGAGCGGUACUACCGUUGACCAAUGGCGGUACUACCGCCAACCAGCGGUACUACCGCUAGGGCUAGCGGUACUACCGCCAACUCUAGCGGUACUACCGCUAGGUCCCGCGGUACUACCGCUCGACACUGAAACAACCAUAACUUUCGGAUACGAGCUCCGAAUCGAGCAAACCCAAGCUUGUUGGAUUCAGGACGACAAGAGCUAUCCAAACAGCCUUUCUCAUGGCAAACAUCCUUUAGGAAGUGUACAUAGAUUUAACACUGAACCUCUUUUUUCCCUAGCAUCCACACCUUCAUCAGUCAAUGUGGUGGAGUGGCAAACAUCCAGUAGGUCUUGCCAUUGCACAACCAAUUCCCCCCGCAAGCAUCUAUGAGAUUGGAGACAUGUCCCUUGAGAGUGAACAACUUAUAAACAAUUGACAUUUUUGCCAAAUGUAAGGUUAUAUAGACUUUGAAAUCUGGAAAUAAUAGAUGGCAUCCAUGUGAUUGGCAAUUAAAACCAUGUUUGCUUAGUUUUGAGUCCGUCUGUUCUCGGUGGUGCGAGCUGAUGCUGCAUUUUGAGAUUGUGUACAUAAGACGGUAAGACUGUUUGUAGGAGGAACUGGCUAGAGCCAUGGAUAGCUUAAGGUGGAUACCAGCUAAGGGAAUGUAAUGGAAGAUAAUCCAUGGAUACCAGCUAAGGGAAUGUAAUGGAAGAUAAAUUCUACAAAGUUUGCCAUGGAUUUUGAGUCAUGUCCUAAGCCACGUAUACUCUAUGUGCCCCCUGGCUUUCUGUUGGGCCUUGUAUAUUUGGUUUCUGGGAAGUACCGAGUUAGAAGAAAACUGUGCUAAGUGCUUAACUAGCAUAUAUUACCAGCCAUCCUCGUUAGUGAAGUGCCAUUUGGAACACUAUUUUGAGCCAUAAUACACUUUUACCUAUGACAAUGACUUGUUUCUCCUAGUCACAACUCUCCAAUCUUUAGCAUGAACUAACCUUAUUAGACACUCAACUUUAACUGUACUUCCAAGUUUUUGAAGUUGAUUCGAGAAGUUCACUCUCUCCAAUCCAAGAUGUAGGUUUCUUUUAGAGUUGGGCACAGGAUUAAUAGUGUAGGUAGCAAUGUUACCAUUUAUUUGUUUCUACAAUAAAUACAAGUGCUAGAGUUUCUUUUGGCAGCACAAUCAAUACUAGAGUUAUUACUAAUACUCGAUGAAACUAAUGAGGCGCUAAAUAAGCACACCAUGAGCAGAAAUGUGAUGUACUACAGUACUAGGCCUUAUUUGUCAGUUGAAAAGGCUAAACCACAAUUUUCCGUAUUUCCCAGUCAUUGCUGCUAAAUCUCGUUAGACUAAAUUAUCAGUUCCUCUAUAUCCGCAACCCCAGCCUUCAAGUUCUAAACCUUAUCUAGUCUAGAUUAAAUGAAUAUCACAUGUCACAAAGUAAAGCGAAGCAAUUGGUCUUUCCUUGUGCUUUCUAUUGGAACAGUCUCUUUCUAUCUGUGUUCCUGUAUUAUUCAGCUGCCACAUUUUGGUUCUUUAAUUGUCAACAAGUCCAAGUUUUUGCAGCCACUUUGAUGCAUUUGGAUUUAGCAAUUUCAGUUAUUACGUACACGAGUCUUUCUUGAUUAUAUUGCUUUCAAUAUGGUUAUCAUAUCUACUCACAGUCAACUCCCUUUUGCUGAAUAGAAUUGAGAAGCUGAAACGUGGUUUUGGUAUGCACAUCCCUGAAGAGUUUAGGUAGCUGGAUAUAAUGCGGGGUUACUGCAUUUCUAAUAAUCAGUUUAAUCACCUCCCUCGGAGCUAGCUAUUGGAGGGCAAGUUUGUGAUUUCUGCUGAACUUGACAUGGACGCUUUUUAAGUAGUACUUGGAGUGUUGGUGAGCAGCAGAUGUAGCACUCAAGCUGUGAUCACAUGAUCUUGUGGUUGUACUAUUGAUGACCUUGGUCCUACUAAUUCAGUUUAUUUGCUGAAAGCUAUGUUUGGAAAUGAUGCAAUCUGCCAGGCAACACUAAUUUCUCUGCAGCCUGUACUUAUGAGUGUUAUUGUCUUGAUGUAUUUUCUCACCACGGGAAGCCUUAGGUAUACGUAAAAUUAUCGUCUUGUAAUAUGUUCCUAGUGCUAUACUUCUCUAAUAUAUUUAUAUAUGUAAAUAUAUAUGUUACUCUUGUAUCAUCUCUUCCUAGUAUCAUAUGGUGCUUUGCUUCCGUGAUCUUGUGUAUUAGAAGUUGUUAACUAUUGUGUAUUAGAAGUUGUUAAAUAUUCAUUGGUGGCGGCCAUGUCUGCACCCGAGCUCAAAUGAGCUAUGUUGAACCGUAAAAUCAGAAAUAUAUAUAAAAAGAUCUAGUUUCAUUAUGGUAAACUAUGACAAAUGUUCUAAGAGUUUGCAAUAUUUCAUCACAAAAUCACAUUUGGAGUUGUAGCGAAAAAACAAAAUUGAUACUCUAAAAAUGCUAUUAUGAAAGCAUUUUAAAGCACUAAUUUUGUUUUUUCGUCAUCACUUUCAUAAAUGUGAUUUAGUGAUGAAAUUUUGAAACCUUUUAGAACAUUUAUCAUAAAAAAGUUCAGCUUUUUUGAAAUAUUUUAAAUAUUUUCGGAGUUGUUAAUCUCGGCUUAUUUGAGCUCUGGUGUAGAAAGGCAUUUUUGACACGCUUGUUAUCUAUAUGACCAACUCCUAACUGAGCUUGCUCGUAGUUGCGCAAAUUUGAAAUUGCUUGUGGCACUCUGUGUUCAUAUCUUCGCUCUGUUGUUCUUCAUGGAAAAAAAUGUUGAUGUGGAACUAUUUUUUUAGUACCGACCACAUUGAUGUUGUGGUGUGGAAGAAGGAUCAUCUUUCUCGUGAAUGGUGUUUUACGAGUUUCUAUGGAGCUUCGAAAGUCAAUGCUAAUCUCCGUUAGAGCGGUGUGGAGGCACAAUGCUCCCCAAGAUGCCACUAAGGCCACCGUAAUCUCCUCACGCCCUCGCACAAUGCAAGAUGCCGUGAUUCCACUAAGGGACCCUUGAGGGCGGUUACCGAACCCGUACAAAUGGCAAACCUUGGGGGCGGUCACCGAACCCGUACACGUGGCAACCCUUGGGGGCGGUUACCGGUACCCGUACAAAUUGCUCGGGGCUAUCUCCACAACCUAAUUGGAGGCCCCAACACUUUCCCGGAGCUUCACACCACAAUGAUUGAGCUCCGAGACACCACCAAGCUUCUAGGAUGCCAAAUCAUCCACGAAGAACAAUAUCUAGGGUACUAAGUACCAAAGGUAGUAAGCUUCUCAACUUUUCACUUCCACGUAUCACCGUGGAGAACUCAAACCGAUGCAACUAAUGCAAUGGGAAGAACACACGAAGUGGUCAAGUCCCUCACACUCAAAUCCCUCCACAACAACAAAAGCUAUGGAGAAAUAUGAGAGGAAGAAUAAGGAGCUCACAAAGAACUCCAAGAUCUAGAUCCAAGGGGUUCCCCUCACAUAGAGGAGAAAGUGAUUGGUGGAGAUGUGGAUCUAGAUCUCCUCUCUCAUUUCCCUCAAGAACAAGCAAGAAUCAUUGGAGGGAUUGAGAGUUAGCAAGCUCUAAGAAUGUCAACAAUGGAGGUAGAACAAGAGCUCAACGGAUAGAUGAGGCCAAGGGGGAAGAAGACCCCCUUUAUAUAGUGGGGGAAGGAAUCAGACCGUUACCCCCACUAUCUGCCCGAGCUCCAGCGGUACUACCGCUGGCUGCAGCGGUACUACCGCUGGCACUCCAGCGGUACUACCGCUGAUUGCAGCGGCACUACCGCCAGCUAGCGGUACUACCGCUGGCACUCCAGUGGUACUACCGCUGGCCCCAGCGGUACUACCGCUGGGCCUCUGGUAGUGCAAAGGCACUACCACCGCCAAGAUAGUCUUCGCAAAAAGGUCCGUCCAUGAACAACCGCUAGGCAGGCGGUACAAAGCUCCUGGAGCGGUACUACCGCUGACCGUGGCGGUACUACCGCCAACUCUAGCGGUACUACCGCUAGGUCCAGCGGUACUACCGCUCGCCACUGAAACAGCCACAACUUUCGCAUACGAGCUCCGAAUCGAGCAAACCCAAGCUUGUUGGAUUCAGGACGACAAGAGCUAUCCAAACAACCUUUCUCAUGGCAAACAUCCUUUAGGAAGUGUACAUAGAUUUAACACUGAACCCCUUUUUUACCUAGCAUCCACACCUUCAUCAGUCAAUGUGGUGGAGUGGCAAACAUCCAGUAGGUCUUGCCAUUGCACAGCCAAUUCCCCCCGCAAGCAUCUAUGAGAUUGGAGACAUGUCCCUUGAGAGUGAACAACUUAUAAAAAUUGACAUUUUUGCCAAAUGUAAGGUUAUAUAGACUUUGAAAUCUGGAAAUAAUAGAUGGCAUCCAUGUGAUUGGCAAUUAAAACCAUGUUUGCUUAGUUUUGAGUCCGUCUGUUCUCGGUGGUGCGAGCUCAUGCUGCAUUUUGAGAUUGUGUACAUAAGACGGUAAGACUGUUUGUAGGAGGAACUGGCUAGAGCCAUGGAUAGCUUAAGGUGGAGAAACAAGUGAAAAUCCAUGGAUACCAGCUAAGCGAAUGUAAUGGAAGAUAAUCCAUGGAUACCAGCUAAGGGAAUGUAAUGGAAGAUAAAUUCUACACAGUUUGCCAUGGGUUUUGAGUCAUGUCCUAAGCCACGUAUACUCUAUGUGCCCGCUGGCUUUCUGUUGGGCCUUGUAUAUUUGGUUUCUGGGAAGUACCGAGUUAGAAGAAAACUGUGCUAAGUGCUUACCUAGCAUAUAUUACCAGCCAUCCUCGUUAAGUGAAGUGCCAUUUGGAACACUAUUUUGAGCCAUAAUACACUUUUACCUAUGACAAUGACUUGUUUCUCCUAGUCACAACUCUCCAAUCUUUAGCAUGAACUACCCUUAUUAGACACUCAACUUUAACUGUACUUCCAAGUUUUUGAAGUUGAUUCGAGAAGUUCACUCUCUCCAAUCCAGGAUGUAGGUUUCUUUUAGAGUUGGGCACACGAUUAAUGGUGUAGGUAGCAAUGUUACCAUUUAUUUGUCUCUACAAUAAAUACAAGUGCUAGAGUUUCUUUUGGCAGCACAAUCAAUACUAGAGUUAUUACUAAUACUUGAUGAAACUAAUGAGGCGCUAAAUAAGCACACCAUGAGAAGAAAUGUGAUGUACUACAAUACUAGGCCUUAUUUGUCAGUUGAAAAGGCUAAACCACAAUUUUCCGUAUUUGCCAGUCCUUGCUGCUAAAUCUCGUUAGACUAAAUUAUCAGUUCCUCUAUAUCCGCAACCCCAGCCUUCAAGUUCUAAACCUUAUCUAGUCUAGAUUAAAUAAAUAUCACAUGUCACAAAGUAAAGCGAAGCAAUUGGUCUUUCCUUGUGCUUUCUAUUGGAACAGUCUCUUUCUAUCUGUGUUCCUGUAUUAUUCAGCUGCCACAUUUUGGUUCUUUAAUUGUCAACAAGUCCAAGUUUUUGCAGCCACUUUGAUGCAUUUGGAUUUAGCAAUUUCAGUUAUUACGUACACGAGUCUUUCUUGAUUAUAUUGCUUUCAAUAUGGUUAUCAUAUCUACUCACAAUCAUCUCCCUUUUGCUGAAUAGAAUUGAGAAGCUAAAGCGUGGUUUUGGUAUGCACGUCCCUGAAGAGUUUAGGUAGCUGGAUAUAAUGCGGGGUUCCUGCAUUUCUAAUAAUCAGUUUAAUCACCUCCCUCGGAGCUACCUAUUGGAGGGCAAGUUUGUGAUUUCUACUGAACUUGACAUGGACGCUUUUUAAGUAGUACUUGGAGUGUUGGUGAGCAGCAGAUGUAGCACUCAAGUUGUGAUCACAUGAUCUUGUGGUUGUACUAUUGAUGACCUUGGUCCUACUAAUUCAGUUUAUUUGCUGAAAGCUAUGUUUGAAAAUGAUGCAAUCUGCCAGGCAGCACUAAUUUCUCUGCAGCCUGUACUUCUGAGUGUUAUUGUCUUGAUGUAUUUUCUCACCAUGGGAAGCCUUAGGUAUACGUACAAUUAUCGGCUUGUAAUAUGUUCCUAGUGCUAUACUUCUCUAAUAUAUUUAUAUAUGUAAAUAUAUAUGUUACUCUUGUAUCAUCUCUUCCUAG
rnacentral:lncRNA from 1 species